rnacentral:rRNA from 1 species
GACGAACGCUGGCGGCGUGCUUAACACAUGCAAGUCGAACGGGUCUGCCCUGUUUUUUGCGGGGUGGGUCAGUGGCGAACGGGUGAGUAACACGUGAGUAACCUGCCCCUCACUUCUGGAUAACCGCUUGAAAGGGUGGCUAAUACGGGGUGUUCUGGCUGUGCCGCAUGGUGUGGCUGGGAAAGAUUCACUUUUGUGGUGUUUUGGUGGGGGAUGGGCUCGCGGCCUAUCAGCUUGUUGGUGGGGUGAUGGCCUGCCAAGGCUUUGACGGGUAGCCGGCCUGAGAGGGUGGGCGGACACACUGGGACUGAGAUACGGCCCAGACUCCUGCGGGAGGCAGCAGUGGGGGGUAUUGCACAAUGGGCGGAAGCCUGAUGCAGCGACGUCGCGUGAGGGAUGGAGGCCUUCGGGUUGUGAACCUCUUUCGCCGGUGAAGAAGGUCCUGCUCUUUGUGGUGGGGUUGACGGUAGCCGGGUUAUGAAGCGCCGGCUAACUACGUG